GACGAACGCUGGCGGCGUGCUUAACACAUGCAAGUCGAACGGAAAGGCCCUGCUUUUGUGGGGUGCUCGAGUGGCGAACGGGUGAGUAACACGUGAGUAACCUGCCCUUGCCUUUGGGAUAACUUCUGGAAACUGGGGCUACUACCGGAUAGGAGCUCCUGCUGCAUGGUGGGGGUUGGAAAGUUUCGGCGGUUGGGGAUGGACUCGCGGCUUAUCAGCUUGUUGGUGGGGUAGUGGCUUACCAAGGCUUUGACGGGUAGCCGGCCUGAGAGGGUGACCGGCCACAUUGGGACGGAGAUACGGCCCAGACUCCUACGGGAGGCAGGAGUGGGGAAUAGUGCACAAUGGGCGGAAGCCUGAUGCAGCAACGCCGCGUGCGGGAUUGCGGCCUUCGGGUUGUAAACCGCUUGCGCCUGGGAUGAAGCGUGAGUGACGGUAAUGGGUAAAGAAGCACCGGCUAACUACGUG
rnacentral:rRNA from 1 species